rnacentral:rRNA from 1 species
CAAUACGAAGCCUUUGGUUUUGUAAUUGAAUUGAGAACAAUGUACAAUCGUUAUCGAUAAACAAUUGGAGGGCAAGUCUGGUGCCAGCAGCCGCGGUAAUUCCAGCUCCAAUAGCGUAUAUUAACGUUGUUGCAGUUAAAAAGCUCGUAGUUGAAGUUUAGAUGAUUUGUUGAGAGUGUUAGUAUUCGUACUAUCUGCCCUUAAUAGAUUAUCGACUUCCAGGUAAGUGUGAUGAACCUUUCGGGGUUUAUUACAUUCGACUGGUCUUUUACUGUGAGAAAAUUAGAGUGUUUAAAGCAGACUUUUUUUAUAGUUUGAAUAGAUUAGCAUGGAAUAAUAAGAUUGGCUUUCAUAGUCGAUUUUUUGGUUUGUUUAUGAAAGCAAGAUUAAUAGGGACAGUUGGGGGUAUUCAUAUUCAAUAGCUAGAGGUGAAAUUCUAUGAUUUAUGGAAGAUGAAC